AAACAAGAAUUGCAAUUUGCAGCAUCAUCAAAACUUGUCUUCAGGUUUUACCAAUACUCCCUUAUUGGUAACAAUCUCCCCCUUUUUGAUGAUGAUAAAAAAUCCUCUUUUAAAAGCAACUCAGUUUUACCUGCAAUACAUACAGACUAAAAAACAACCACAAAGUUAGCGGUACCUGUACAAUUGUAAAAUAUUUCUCCCCUUAAUUCUCCCCUUUAUA
rnacentral:lncRNA from 1 species